rnacentral:lncRNA from 1 species
UACAGCUACAAAAAGUCAGCAGAAUCAUGGAAACACCAAGGUUGGAAAAGACCUAUAAGAUCAUCCAGUCCAACCAUCCACGUACCACCAAUAGUUCUCACUAAACCAUAUCCCUCAACACAAGAGUCCCUGUGAUUCUCUGGAUUCUGACCCAAGCUAGGAAUGCUAUUUUCUUUUACUGAUGUUAUUGUCAUUAAUUUGAGAUAGGUGUUUUACUGGGCUGCAGAAGAACAAAUUGGAUCUGGAUCAACAUUGGAUGCAGUUACUGUUCUAUUUUGCUGACAAAUAUGGCUGAAAUUCACAUGGUCACCACAUGGAAAACAAAGGUCUGGUAGUUGGAGCUCGAAAGUGAAUUUAUUGCGUUGUGGAACCACAGCCUAAGCACUUUCUUUUGAGUUGAAAAGGACAAUGAGAGAACACAGUAUCUCUGAAGAAAUUGGAAUAAAACAGCUAUGUAAGUGAAUUACCACCCACAAGCUUUCAGCUGAAUAGGUUUCAUUUCUGGUUUCAGGUGGGAGAUAUGAGAGAGGAGAAGGUGGAUGCAAUCAUCUUUGGUCUUUCAUAGAGCUACUGUCAUUUCUACAGGGCACUGCUGGAAUUGUAAAAACAGCAAUUAGAAAUGUUGAUCUGAACACCAGCCCUGUGCAGUUUGAGAGAAAAAUACAGAUCUUUUAAAAGUAAUUCAUGGAUGCUGAUGAGAACCAG